rnacentral:rRNA from 1 species
UUCGUAGGCGGUGUGGCAAGUCGGGAGUGAAAUCUCUGGGCUCAACUCAGAGGCUGCUUCCGAAACUGCUGUGCUUGAGUGUGAGAGAGGCUCGUGGAAUUGCAGGUGUAGCGGUGAAAUGCGUAGAUAUCUGCAGGAACACCCGUGGCGAAAGCGGCGAGCUGGAUCACUACUGACGCUGAGGAACGAAAGCUAGGGGAGCAAACAGGAUUAGAUACCCUGGUAGUCCUAGCCCUAAACGAUCAGGACUUGGGGUGCCGCCCGUUCGGGCGUCGUCCCGGAGCUAACGCGUUAAGUCCUGCACCUGGGGAGUACGGUCGCAAGACUGAA